UACGAAGGGGGCUAGCGUUGCUCGGAAUCACUGGGCGUAAAGGGUGCGUAGGCGGGGUUUUAAGUCAGGGGUGAAAUCCUGGAGCUCAACUCCAGAACUGCCUUUGAUACUGGGGAUCUCGAGUCCGGAAGAGGUGAGUGGAACUCCGAGUGUAGAGGUGAAAUUCGUAGAUAUUCGGAAGAACACCAGUGGCGAAGGCGGCUCACUGGCCCGAUACUGACGCUGAGGCACGAAAGCGUGGGGAGCAAACAGG
rnacentral:rRNA from 1 species